rnacentral:rRNA from 1 species
CAGCAGCCGCGGGAAUACGAGGGGUGCAGGCGUUAUUCGGAUUGAUUGGGUGUAAAGGGUGUGCAGACGGCUUAUUAAGUCACUUGUUAAAUUCUUCGGCCUAACUGAAGGUCUGCAAGUGAUACUGAUGAGCUAGAGGGUGGAAGAGAGAAGUGGGAUUCUCGGAGUAGCGGUAAAAUGCGUAGAUCUCGAGAGGAACACCAAUGGCGAAGGCAGCUUCUUGGUCCAUUCCUGACGUUCAUACACGAAAGCGUGGGGAGCAAACAGGAUUAGAUACCCCAGUAGUCCCUGUCUCUUAUAA